AUUGAACGCUGGCGGCAUGCCUUACACAUGCAAGUCGAACGGCAGCACGGGUGCUUGCACCUGGUGGCGAGUGGCGAACGGGUGAGUAAUAUAUCGGAACGUACCUUAUUGUGGGGGAUAACGCAGCGAAAGCUGUGCUAAUACCGCAUAAUCCCUAAGGGGGAAAGCGGGGGACCGUAAGGCCUCGCGCAAUUAGAGCGGCCGAUACCUGAUUAGCUAGUUGGUGAGGUAAAGGCUCACCAAGGCAACGAUCAGUAGCUGGUCUGAGAGGACGAUCAGCCACACUGGGACUGAGACACGGCCCAGACUCCUACGGGAGGCAGCAGUGGGGAAUUUUGGACGAUGGGGGCAACCCUGAUCCAGCAAUGCCGCGUGGGUGAAGAAGGCCUUCGGGUUGUAAAGCUCUUUUGUCAGGGAAGAAACAGCAGCUCUAACACAGUAUGCGAAUGACGGUACCUGAAGAAUAAGCACCGGCUAACUACGUGCCAGCCGCCGCCGUAA
rnacentral:rRNA from 1 species